rnacentral:rRNA from 1 species
GAUCAACGCUGGCGGCGUGCCUAAUGCAUGCAAGUCGAGCGGGGAGGGCUUCGGCCUUCUUACGCGGCGGACGGGUGCGUAACACGUGGGCAACCUGCCCUGGGGUGGGGGAUAGCCGUGGGAAACCGCGGGUAAUUCCGCAUACGUGGUGCGGUCGGCAGGAUCGCACAGAAAGGCUCGGAAGAGCCGCCCUGGGAGGGGCCUGCGGCCGAUUAGCUAGUUGGGGGGGUGAUGGCUUCCCAAGGCGAUGAUCGGUAGCUGGUCUGAGAGGACGGCCAGCCACACGGGGACUGAGAGACGGCCCCGACUCCUACGGGAGGCAGCAGCAAGGAAUCUUCCGCAAUGGGCGCAAGCCUGACGGAGCAACGCCGCGUGCGGGAUGACGCCUUUCGGGGUGUAAACCGCUUUUCUGCGGGAAGAACGUGCGGCAACGCACCUGACGGUACCGCAGGAAGAAGGACCGGCUAACUACGUGCCAGCAGCCGCGGUAAUACGUAGGGUCCGAGCGUUGUCCGGAGUUACUGGGCGUAAAGCGCGCGCAGGCGGCGGUGUUGGCCCGGCGUGAAAGCCCCCGGCUCAACCGGGGAGGGUCGUCGGGGACCGCACCGCUUGAGGGCGGUAGGGGCUGGUGGAAUGCCUGGU